rnacentral:piRNA from 1 species
UAUCUGUUCUUGGAGACAGGCAUUCUCCUU